UACGUGUUCUGUAUAGUAACCUUUCUGGUUUCAAGAAGGGGCGCAACAAGUGGCGUGAUCUCCGGCAGAAUAGGUCAGCCCCCCUCCUCAAGAACUCCGCACAUGGGAGUGAGGAAGUCACUACUGCUUGUGUUGUGCUAGCCGACAAUACGAUACGUGUGUUGUGCCCUUAAACCUACAAUGGUCGGAAGUCUACAAUAUUCAUGAGUGGGCGUGGCUUGUGUAUGCACGUGACACUAUCUUCCGCAAAGCUGUUGAUGUCUAACGAACGCAUCGCUGUCUCGGCUGUUAUUGCGCGAUACGAUGUUUCACUCACAAUCUGCACAUCAGAUAAUACAAGCUGAGCAUCUAAUUGGAUCUAAUUAGAUAUGAGCACAUGCUCAAGAUGGAAGAUCUGUCGAAAAGUAUGAAUGACAUGAAAUUAAAAAAACCCAGCAAAAACUGGUGGCUUCCUUGGCGCAUCAACGGAAACCCUUAAAACUACAGAAGGUCUAAAGUCUACAAUGAUGGGGUGGCCCAUUCCUGGACCCCCCCAGGCAGUCAUGAGCUGUUGCAUAGGCCCCUCCUGAUCCAUUGACCUUGAUGAUGCACAACCCCAUCUAGACUGAAAAAUAUCAUUCACUCUCUCUCCCAUUUCAGAAAAAAUGGGCGUCAGUGUGCAUCUCAGAGGUUCUGCCAGCUUACCAGAAAAAAUGGGCGGCUUCCUCGGCGCGUCAAGGCGACAGUCAGUGUGCACCUCAGAGGUUCUGCCAGCUUGCCAGGUGAGCUUCAAACAGCCCAAGGCACCCUAGGAAACUGGUCAAAAAUCAAAUCCACCUUCUUUUUCUCUCUAUCUUUUUUUAAAGGACUUGUGUAGACUUAAGACCUUC